rnacentral:lncRNA from 1 species
GCUAUCUUUAGCAGACCAGAUUAAUUGGAAAAUUGAAAACUUCCAGCAACUUUUGAUGAUCAAAUGGGACUCAUAUCAAUAGCCAAAUGGAUCAAUUCAUUCAGGAAGCAAAUUUUGACUAUAUGAGUUGCCAAUUCUAGCUAAUUCAUAACCAAAUCAGUAUACAGUUUUCAGCAUAGGAUUCAAAAGUGUUUGGAUCAGAGAUUUGGCACUUGGAGCAAGUUUGAAUUGCCAAAAAUAUCAGAUUAAAAUGGCUGUAAGGCACUGCAUACGGUCAGUUCAAAAUUUCACCACCUAGGUUGCUCAAUUCAACCAAAAAUCAGUCCAACACACUAGCCAAAAUGCAGCAAACAUUCAAACUGCUAUGAAACAAGUUUUUGGUGACUCUAAACAGCANAACAGAUUUUAAACAAGACUCUAGAAUUGCAUUGAAAGAUGUCCANAAAUGAAUUCUAUGCUGGACAGAUUUAAAACCAGAAAAACAAACUCAAACAAGUCAAGUGCAGUUCGGCCAAGUUGUUAUGCACUAUACUGUGAACUUCUGCAGUGUAAGGCAACCAUUCUCGGUUUGAUUUUAACAAAUCUCGACUGAAUUGGUUUGCUUAAUACACUAUUGCAGUGACUCAAUUCAAACAGUGCAUCAAAUUUUUACAGAUUAUCAUAUCAAAUUAGAACACAGUUAGCACGGUGCAGUUGCAUCAACCAAAUAUCACUCAAGUUCAAUCACAAAUCUG